UAUAUAUAUGUUCAUGGUUAUAGUUUAUUACCUAAUUAAGUAUGCUAUAUCAGAUUAAUUAUUUGCAUGUGUUGUGCAUAUUGCACAUUAAGUACAUGUAUGUCCAAGAAAUUAAAUAUGGACAUAUAAAUGCUUUGUCUGGUUUACACACCACUUCGUAUAAUUUAUGUCAGUCAAUAUUGCAUCAUGAUUCUGAUUCCCUGAAUAAAAUGUAAAUACAAUUGUUAGCAUGAUGUUUGAGCUUAAUAAAAUUUAUUUGGAAACCUGCAGGGUAUAAUCAUUAUUAUUAAUUAGCUUCUUUGAUGGUUGAUUAGCGACGAUAUUAAUUUAUAUAGCAAGAACCUUAUACGACUACAUUCAUGGCUCUUAGUUAUACUGUCAUUAUGAAAGUAGUUACUCAUUUUAUCUGAAAGUAAGUUUCUAUACAAUUCGAAUGGUUGGUGCAAGUUUAAGAGAAGAAUUUAAAGCAUCAGAAUCCAUGACACUACGUCAUUACCGGGGUUGUCAUAAAAACAACUAAUGAAUCCACAUUUUCAUAUUGAUUGUAAAUAAAAAGUUUAACCCUCUACAUACAUCCCAAUCACAAAUUAACCACUCUAAAAUCAUGUUCAGUUAGUAUAUCAAGUAGUUCCCCAACGUCAAAAAUUAAAAAUAUUUAGAAUCAAUGGACACCCUAUCUUCAUAAAAAUUAUUUUAAUACACAAACUGUAUUAAUCAUGAAAUAAUAUUAAUAAAUAAUAUGAAUAAAUGGAAAAUUAAGUUAGCUAUUUUCAUUGAAACGUAGAAAAUAGUGCAACUUAUUCAUAAACGCAAAUAAACAUAAAUUAUUAUGUUUUAGAGUAAAUAUAAAAUUUUAAAGACAAUUAUUUUACAACCAUUCCAUCUUUUUGGCUGAUGUCAAACUGAUUGUCUCAGGUUACCUGAUGAAUUACUGCAACGAAAAACACACUGUGCACACUAUCAUAUAAUGGUCUUUUUUGUCAACCUAUAUAAUUAUAUAUCAUACCAAAAUACAUGAUAUAUGAGAUAACUUUCGCGAUUGGACCCUCUUUGAAGGAGCAAAAGAAAGGGAUGAGAUGGAAACUACGGAAGUUCCAAGAAUAUCUAAAAAUGAAUUAAAAAGGUCAAAGUUAUAUUUAAUGGUAGUUUGGAUUAAUUCUUUUAAUUAUAAAUUGGCCAGUACUCCAUUGACUCAUGUAGUUGGGGAGCAAUAUCCUUGUGGACCAUUGUCCAAGAAACAGCUCACACAUUAAGAAUUACAUCACAUAGAUAUACCAUUCAUGCUAACAUACAUUGUGUAUGAUGUGUGAAACUAAGUGCAUGUACGCAUAUACAUAAUACAUAUUUGGUGUGAUCAGUACCGGUCCGGACUCAUCUGGCGCCUAAAGCGGACACAAAAAUUGUUGCCCCUUACCUCUAAUUUUUUUUAAAAAAAUAUCAUCACAACAAGGAAAACUAUCAUUAAAACUUUUUUUUUUUUUGAAAAAAUGUAGUUCAUAAAUAUCAAUAUAUUAUUUAUAAAAUCUGUUAAUCAUUCACGAGAGAUAUAAUUUUAAAGAGUUAAAAUUUUGGGAGAAACAUUCCACACAAGCAAUUUUUUGUUUGGAUAAAAAUCAUUCGUUAUUUUUGAAAAAUUCUAAUACUUCAAUCGUUUUUGUAAGUUCUUGUCAACAUUCUUUUUAGGUAAUCAAAUUCCAUAAAAUGAAUUUUCUUCAUAAGACUAAAAUAGAUUUAGCAAUAUUUUCAUUUAUAAAAUUAUAUUGAAUUUUUACUGAAUUCCAGAAAACACAACUAACUUCUAAUAAUGUUAUAUUUAUUCAGAUUUCAAGAAAUUCUUAAAUAGAUUAUAAAAAAAGUAUGAAAACCAAUAAGAAGAAAUAAAAGAAGAAGGCAUAUAUAGAGGUGGGAAACACAACCACUUCAGUCAUCACCAAAUGUGAACGUAGCUUUAGAAUAAAAUACAAUUGAAAAGAAUUAAAACAUAAAACAUAAAGCGUAUAAUGAAUUAUUAAUUAGGUUUUUGUUUAAUAUUUAUCUUAUACAUCAUAUUUAAUAUAAUAAAAGAAACUAAUGAAAAAAGAAGAAACUAUUAUUUAUUUUACAAGUGAUGGUGUUCCAUCGUGUUUUAUUUCAUAGUCAUCAUUAUCAAGAAGAAAAAGAAAAUAAAAAGAGGAUGAAGAGCUUUGAACCACCCACGUGAAAGACAGUUGCCAAAUCUCAAAGCCACUACACUAAACGGCCUUUUAACAAAGUUUGGCGCCCCUAAACGAUUAAUACUUUUUGGUGCCUAAAGCUUUUGCUUUAUGGGCUUUAGCCCAGGGCCGGCCCUGGGUGUGAUUGUAUGGUAUAAUUAGAGUAAAUAAAAUGGGUGAAAAAAAAUUCAGCAUAUUUACUUUGAUUUUAUCCGAUCAAGUGGAAAAUGAUUUCAGCUCAUUUUACUCUAAAAAAGUGAAAAAUUGUACUAAAACUAGAGUAAUUAUUCCUUCAACUUUUAUGAGAUGAAAAAGAUUUACUCCAACUUUAUUACCUUUUAUUUCUCCCCUUUCCACUUCAUUUUUUUCACCCUAAUUACUCCACUACUUAACCAAUCACACUCAUUAUAUUGUCAAUGGUGUCUUGAUUUAUCUGACGUGUUAUGUGCAUGGUGUUGUAUUAUGAAGCUAGAUGACAAAUUCAUUUUUAGGAAUGCUCAUAUACACAUAAGAGUAUAAGACCGUGUUGAAGUAUAUGGAUUUUCGUGGAUUCAGAAAACGGAACCCUGCUACUUAAUGUAAACGAACAAGACUUUAAAAACUCGUAAUGCAAAAACAUAUCGAACAAGUUUUCUCAUAAAACACAUAGAAAAUUAUUACAAAUAGCAGUAUUAAAUAAUUUGGGGUCAUAUGUUUCUUUCACGCACGACCUUGCCUAUAUGGCUAUUAUAUACAUGUAUAAAUGUUAAUAUUUACAUAUAUAAUGACUAUUAAAUGUUUGUAGCAACCCAAGGUCUCUUGGUUGGAAGAAGGUUGGUUGACACUUGUCUUAUAUAGAAAUGGUUGAAUUUUUGUUCACAGGUUCGAGAUUGACAGCAACUCAUUUGGUGGUAGUCAUUUUUUGGAAAAUGGUGAAUGUGCGUUCGUCAAUUCGAGUUUUUGACACUUGAAAGUGCCUAAUUUAUACAGUACGUGUGUGGUUUGACGUUCGAGAAAACUAUCGAUAAAAAAAAAUAUCAAUCAAAUUUGUAAAACUAUGUGACUAAUAAUAUCCAAAACAAUGUUGUAUGCCAUUAAUUGUACAUUUAGUUAUACCAAAAAAAUUGUACAUUUAGCAGUUGACCCUUACAUGAAGGUUAUACUGCACCAACUUUUUGAUUAGAUUGGCCAUAAACCGAUGUGAAAGUGAAUAGAUCAUCUUAAAAUAAAUGGGAUGUCGUUAGUAUCUUCUCUAUUAAAAUAUAAGUACUGUUUUUAUGAACAAUACUUAGGUUCACCCCUGGGGUGAACCUUUAAAUUCACCACUUUCCUUAUAUCUAAUAAAUUUCCAUAUAUAUAAAUAAACAGUAUAUAUUAAAUUAAAAAGCUAAAAUAACAAAAAAAAUAACUAAAUCCUAAACUCUAAAUCAUAAACCAUUAAACCUAAACCCAAAUCCAAAUCCUAUACCCUAAAUUUUAAAUCCAAAUCAUAGAUCAUAAACUCAAACCUUAUAUCCAAAUUCUACACCUUAAACCCUAAAUCUAAACCCAAAUCCUAGAUCCUAAACCCUAAAUCCUAAACUCAAACCCUAAACCCUAAAUCAAACCAUAAACCCUAAACCCAAAUCGUAAACCCUAAACCCAAACUUUAGAUCUUAAACCCUAAACCCAAAACUAGAGUUUAAGAUCUAGAGUUUGGGUUUAGGGUUUACGGUUUGGAUUUAGGGUUUACGGUUUGGAUUUAGGGUUUAGAGUUUAGGUUUAGGAUUUAGGGUUUAGGGUCUAGGAUUUAGGGUUUAGGUCUAGGAUUUAGGGUUUAAAUUUAGGGUUUAAGGUGUAGAAUUUGGAUAUAGGAUUUGAGUUUAUGAUCUAGGAUUUGGAUUUAAAAUUUAGGGUAUAGGAUUUGGAUUUGGGUUUAGGGUUUGUGUUUAGAUUUAAGGUUUAGUGAUUUAUGAUUUAGAGUUUAGAGUUUAGUUAUUUUUUAAGUUAUUUUAGCUUUUUAAUUUAAUAUAUAUUAUUUAUUUACAUAUAUGGAAAUUUAUUGGAUAUAAGGAAAGUGGUGAAUUUCAAGGUUCACCAUAGGGGUGAACCUAAGUAUUGUUCU